AAGUUUGAUUAGUGGCUGAGAGCUCGUCUGAAAAAAAAAAUCUUUUUCUUAAUUGAAACUGCAACUCUGUCGAAUAAAAUGGAUUAUUUACCAUGUGAGCAUUUCUAUUUCAGAUAAUUGAACACAUUUAUUCUUUUCUUGCAUACAGUGAUAGAUUACUCGCAACCGAGAUUUGCUUAAGAUGGCACGACAUCUUCAUCGUUCGGUUGAUAAAACAAACCGUUCUCCGGAUUAAAGGAGAUAAUAUCCACGCUAAGAUGAUGAGUUAUGAAUCGGUCAUUCAUCGAUUUGCGAUCAGCGAUCGAUGUUAUCCACACAUGACGCUGGAAGAUAUAGAUUUUUAUCAGACAAAUCGGAACACCGAAAUACAAAUAGCUAUAAUGAUGGCUAACCAGGGACUACAUGUACAAAGCUUGGACCUCAUAAAUUGUCGCCUUCCAAUGCAAAAACUUAACCAAAUAAUGCACAUGAUGAAUCGUGUGAAAACCUUGACCAUGGCUUAUUGCUAUAUCUCACUCUGUGCUGAAUUUUGGAGUAUUCCGUUUGUGCCUAAAUUUCACAACCUGGAAUCCAUCGCGCUUAAAAACAUUCGGUCCAAAAAUGAGGCUGAAGUUCUAGAGUUAUUGCUGAGGGGCAACCAAGCCAAGGUUGAUCUAACAAUGGAUAAUGAUAGUAUUGAUAACAGGACUCAGGUCAUCAGUUCAUUCGCUUCAAGGAUUGCACAUUUAUCAUUCGUUUUCUAUCAAAGCAAUACGCUUCGCAAUGUUUUUAGUGAACUUGAAAUGAACCUUGAAACGCUUCGGCUCAAAAGACAGCCACAUGACGAGCUGCACAGUAUUAUCCUUUUAGAAAUUCUUCCAGUUCAAAGGAAUUUGAAACAGUUGCAUAUAAAUACGUUAAUUUCCACCGAAGUGCUCCAGACGAUCGCAAGAACCGUCACAGGUUUAAAAUAUCUGUCAGUAACCAUCGGUGAAGAUGAUUCAAUACCGCUCGUGAACAUAUAUUGGCCAAACUUGAAGGUUUUCUAUUUAUCUCGUCAAAUAAAUUUGGAGUCACUGUUUGAAAAAAUGAGCUUCGACAGCCUGGAAGAACUGCAUUUGUACACGGAACGUUUGUCGAAAAACACAAUUGUAAACAUCUACGAAAAGUGUUGUCGGGUCAAGAAGUUAUCGUUGUCAGCGCUGUCGAUGGUGCGGUGUGAUGCCACUCUUGGUGAAAUAAAUCUUCACUUGACAAAGCUGGAAUCUUUGGCUGUGCAGUGCAGUUCGCGAACGACAUUUGUUCCUUUGCUGAAAGCAAUACAACUGCUACAUCGAUUGUCCUCAUUUUCGAUUGUUUUCUGCGAGAAGAUAAACGAUCGUUCAGCUGGAAGCAUAAUUCUGCCGUUUCUUCGUUCGCUCUGUAUAACUCGGAAUCGUAAGAUUUCUGCUGCAGGCAUUAAAAUACUAUCAACUAAUUGUCCCAGCAUAGAUAGUUUAAUCAUACGCGAAUGUCCCAUGUUUGGUGAUGAUGCCGUCGAGGUCAUAACGGAAUCUUUACCAUAUUUGACAUCCUUUGACAUAAGCAAUUCAAGUGCAAUCACGCUGAAUAGUAUAAGGUUAAUAUUAACGCGGCUCAGGUGCCUCUGCACUCUUCGAAUAGAUGAUUGCCCAAAGAUUUUAAAACAGUGGCGCAAUGCUUCGCAGUAUAUUGGCAAUUUAUUAUCUUUGCGAAACUUUUAUCACAAAUAUCCCGAAUUUUUCAUUUAUGAUCUUCCCAGCGAUUUUGUUACACAAUAUGAAAGCGAUGAUGAUUGCUUCGAUUACGAUAGUGCAAACGAUGCUUCGAACUCGGAAAACUUAGACGAUGUAGAAGAUCUAUUUAUUGCAUUGAAUGAACAGCUUGUAGAUGUAGACAAUGAAAUUAUUCGUAAUGCGGUUGAAGAUGCAGAAAUUAUUAUUAUUAGCGAUGAUGAUGAAGAUUGAUUUUUUUUAAAUCAAAUUGUUUAAUCAAAACUCUGCUUUGAAAGCAAGAAGACUGUUUGUUGGCGACGUAAAAUAUUAGGACUUCUUGUAGCAAACUCUGGGAUUUGUGAUUUCUGCUGCAGGCAUUAAAAUACUAUCAACUAAUUGUCCCAGCAUAGAUAGUUUAAUCAUACGCGAAUGUCCCAUGUUUGGUGAUGAUGCCGUCGAGGUCAUAACGGAAUCUUUACCAUAUUUGACAUCCUUUGACAUAAGCAAUUCAAGUGCAAUCACGCUGAAUAGUAUAAGGUUAAUAUUAACGCGGCUCAGGUGCCUCUGCACUCUUCGAAUAGAUGAUUGCCCAAAGAUUUUAAAACAGUGGCGCAAUGCUUCGCAGUAUAUUGGCAAUUUAUUAUCUUUGCGAAACUUUUAUCACAAAUAUCCCGAAUUUUUCAUUUAUGAUCUUCCCAGCGAUUUUGUUACACAAUAUGAAAGCGAUGAUGAUUGCUUCGAUUACGAUAGUGCAAACGAUGCUUCGAACUCGGAAAACUUAGACGAUGUAGAAGAUCUAUUUAUUGCAUUGAAUGAACAGCUUGUAGAUGUAGACAAUGAAAUUAUUCGUAAUGCGGUUGAAGAUGCAGAAAUUAUUAUUAUUAGCGAUGAUGAUGAAGAUUGAUUUUUUUUAAAUCAAAUUGUUUAAUCAAAACUCUGCUUUGAAAGCAAGAAGACUGUUUGUUGGCGACGUAAAAUAUUAGGACUUCUUGUAGCAAACUCUGGGAUUUGUGGUAGAGUAUAGCUCAAAGCUAAAAUAUAUAUUUAAAUUUAA